AGUGAACGCUGGCGGUAGGCCUAACACAUGCAAGUCGAACGGCAGCACAGUAAGAGCUUGCUCUUACGGGUGGCGAGUGGCGGACGGGUGAGGAAUACAUCGGAAUCUACUUUUUCGUGGGGGAUAACGUAGGGAAACUUACGCUAAUACCGCAUACGACCUACGGGUGAAAGCAUGGGAUCUUCGGACCUUGCGCGAUUGAAUGAGCCGAUGUCGGAUUAGCUAGUUGGCGGGGUAAAGGCCCACCAAGGCGACGAUCCGUAGCUGGUCUGAGAGGAUGAUCGGCCACACUGGAACUGAGACACAGUCCUGACUCCUACGGGAGGCAGCAGUGGGGAAUAUUGGACAAUGGGCGCAAACCUGAUCCAGCCAUACCGCGUGGGUGAAGAAGGCCUUCGGGUUGUAAAGCCCUUUUGUUGGGAAAGAAAAGCAGCAGGUUAAUACCCCGCUGUUCUGACGGUACCCAAAGAAUAAGCACCGGCUAACUUCGUG
rnacentral:rRNA from 1 species